AUUGAACGCUGGCGGCAGGCCUAACACAUGCAAGUCGAACGAGUGGCGGACGGGUGAGUAAUGGCUGGGAAACUGCCUGAUGUAGGGGGAUAACUACUGGAAACGGUAGCUAAUCCCGCAUACCAUCGGAUGUGCCCAGAUGGGAUUAGCUAGUAGGUGGGGUAAAGGCUCACCUAGGAGACGAUCCCUAGCUGGUCUGAGAGGAUGACCAGCAACACUGGAACUGAGACACGGCCCAGACUCCUACGGGAGGCAGCAGUGGGGAAUAUUGCACAAUGGGCGCAAGCCUGAUGCAGCAACGCCGCGUGUAUGAAGAAGGCCUUCGGGUUGUAAAGUACUUUUGGCGGGGAGGCGUUAUCCGCAGAAGAAGCACCGGCUAACUCCGUGCCAGCAGCCGCGGUAAUUC
rnacentral:rRNA from 1 species